rnacentral:lncRNA from 1 species
CUAAUGCAUUUUCUUUAUUCUUUCUAGCCCCAAGCUAUUUGUUUCUGCAUUUGUCCCUGGUUUUCUGGUUUCCCUUCACUCGACUGCUUACUUAUCUGGUCGUGUUUGCAUGCAGUCCUGCCGAAGCAGAGAGCUAGAGAGUAAGCAUUUCUGACUUGGGGCUGGCCUCCUGCUGGGGAACCAAUUAAAUGAACUACCCACCAGGGAGAGUGUGAUAUUUUUUAUUACUUUCUAAUUUCGGGCCCUGAAAUGGCUUCAGUGAUCAGAACAUUCUUCUGCUUAAGAACCUAAAGGAGCCGGUGCGAUGAUGCUUUUGAUUUGGAUUUCAUUUAUAAUGGUCCAUAUUCGCCAAGCAUCCUCCAAGGAUUUCCGUGGGGCCUCAGAUUCUUGAAGUGGGGAAAAAGCAGGACAAAGAAAACCACAACAAAACUUUCUCCCUAUUUUACCUUAUCGCACUGGAAACCACCAGCUACUUUGGGAAAGUCUUUCUUUGAGAAGUCGGGUGAAGGGAGAAAGAAAGAGAAGAAUUAGCACAAAACAAUUUCUCUGGAUUCUAAGUCUAUUUAAACUACAAAAGUAAAUCACAAUCCUGCCUCUUUCUCAUUACUGAGGGCCUGAGAGCAGGGCCUCUGAAAUGCUCUUUAAGGUGAAAGGAAGAGUUGCAUUUUAUUUCUAAAUACAUUCACAGGAGUCCGCCCCCACCCCAAAGGUUCUCACUGCUGUUUGAUUCACGCCUCUUUUUCUUUCUUAAAGAGUUAGUGCAAGAGGAAAAGGGAAGACAUGAAAAAGAGGUGGGGGUGGUUGGGGGGUGGGGAGGGCUGAAAUAGGUUCUAACGAGGAAGAAGGAAAUGAAAGUCCAAUUCUCCAUGAAUAUCUGAAUUUCUAUUUAUUUAUCUUUGCAACAGGAAGGAUGCCUUAAAAUCCAGCUUUGCUCUUGGAUAAAAUCAAAUACUAACAACCCAGCAAAACAGCUAAAAGCCCAAAUUAUAAGCUGUUUCAAAUCCUUCCCACUUUCCACGGGGUCUUGGCUGAGGGGCUUUUUUCUUUUUUCUUUCUUUCUUCCCUGGCUUGCUUGCUUAGCUAGAGGUAGUUCUGAAUGUUUAUCUGAAGUAUCUCCCUAAUAUUCUGAGGGGACUUUUCUCUCGAGCAAAAGCUCCCCUGAAAACAGGGGCUUGUUUCAAUUCCCAUUAAAUUUUGCUCCGUGUUGAGUCUUUUACUAGUGAAUGGCUUUAGUGACACUGACGACAAAAGCUGACAUAGAUACCUGUGCUCAGUGACAACUUUUAUAAAAUGUGAUUCAAAAAUUAACAUUUAUAAUUUUAUAAUAAGCCAGCUACCACAUUUGCUAUUAUAGGGUGAUCUGUUAAAACUCCUUUCCUACUUUUAAAUAGAAGUCCCAGAAGAGCAAAAAUGUUUAUCUUUAUUGUUUAUAGCCCUGUUAAGUACCACUUUAUCAUAUGAUUUAAAAUUCAACAAUAUAACUUAGCAGUCAGUAUUUAUUUACGUAAAGAAAGGGUAAGUGUUUCUUCAGAGUUUGUCUAAAUUUAAAAUCAGAAACCAAAUCACCUCUCGUUCAUUCUUUUUCUUCCUUCUUCCCUCUCCCUGCCUUCUUUCCUUCCUUCCUUUCUUCCAUUCAUUUUAAAACCCAGUAACUGCAUAUUGUUGGGUCUAAAAAUCCCAUAAAAAUUCAACUUCCUUCAGGAACAAAUAGCUGUCAAUUAUUUGAAAAGACCAACUUCAAAAAUUUGACAUGUCUUUCUGGAGGAUAUAUAUCUUUUGAGUGAAAAGGCAAUGUUCCAGAUCGAAAUAUAGUCCAGGUCUACACUGGCAAAGAGAAUCAAACUAAUAAACAAUGGAUAGAAACAUGAAUGCAUGAAUGAGGGGAUACUCAGGCAGACAUAAAGCAGAAUCAAAAUACUCAACACAUCCAGUUAAUUCACGAGGUUGGCCUACAACUGAGCCAACACUCACUGGACAACCUUCUACAAGAGACAACAGAUUGUUAGCCUCUGGGAAGUAGCACUAUUUUAAUCAACCAAUUUGGCAUGUUGUGUUUUACAGUUUCUAAAAUUAACACGGACUCCAAAUAAAAGCACGGCCGGUGUGGAACUAUAUGCAAAGGACACCGUCACCUGGUUGCUUUGACUCUGUUCUUUAUCAGAAUAAGCUGCCUUGUUUGUCCAGCCCCAUUUUUGAAGACAUGAUUCAUUAACCAAUCUGUCAUUUUGUGUCGGUAAUGACUGACUUUUCCAGGAUUCUCAUUUAAAAUACGAGCUCGGUAGGAGUCCCAAAGCGGGGCGCUGGAGGAGGGGGAUGGCGGAGGCGGAAGGAUGGAGAUUCCAUAGGUAGGAUUCAGUAUUGCUUGUAGCUACAGUCCUUGCUACAGCAAAGACAGCAUGUGGAAACAGUGCCAGGUUUUCCCUUUGCAUUGAGCAAAGCUAAAUUCUUCUGGGCUUGGCUGAAGAAUUUUCUUCACAAUAACUGCAUGACUUGUGAAGCUGACUUCUAACCAGAUGCUGGGCCCAGCGUACAUCGAUGUUUAACUCAUUAUGCUCCUCCAAUCUGCCUUCUUCUCCAACCCAUUCUCUUUGGGAGGGUAAAAAGGAGUGAGGGUUUCUUUGUAAGUCACUUUGAUUUCACACAGUUUGGGUGAACAGAUCCAUGCCACUCCGAAGAGAAAUAAGUGGGGAGGGGAGGGAGGAGGAGAAGGGAGAACUCAAGGCGGAUGAUAGAAAAACAAGCCAAAGAAUAGUUAAGGAGGAUGCAUUUUCCCAAAGAGACUUCUGGUUGCCACCUAAACUGAAGCCAUCACUGAAGCAUUCUUGCGGCAGAUGCUUCCUGGGGGUGUGUGUGCUAUUUUCAGAAAACACAUCCCAUGAAGGCCUUUGCAGGAAGCAAAUUCAAUGUCAAAGGAGCCACAACAGAUACUUAAAAUUCUGUCUUUCACACCCUGCCUGGCCACUUAAACAUGCUUAUUAAAAAUUUCCUCCGUCCUCUCUAACAUAUACAACUUUCCAAGGCAAAGAAUGACUUUUUAGAGUCUCGGUGUGCCCAUAAAAUUCUGUCUCGGAGAGUUUAUUAAUAAUCAUAAAAACAUCAGUAUCCAUCAGGAUCACUUCGCAAAGGGAGAGGCAGCUUUUCCUAAAAGUGUGCUCAAAUUGUCUAAGACCGAUGUCGACAUGAAAAGGGGGUUAACCUGAUGCUGAUGAUGGGUCAACCUCUCCGCUUCCCUGUUCACCAGCAAGGACAGGCCGGCUGGAAGCUCAGGCAAGCCUGCUUGGUCGGAAGCCGGCACCCACGCCUGCCACCAGCAGCAGGUCCCCAUGGAAGGAGACGUUCCGACCAACCUCCACAGCCGCAGACUGUGUAUUUAUGCACAACACAGGGGGCAGGGGAGGGGAGGGGACUGGGGUUCAGCACUACAUAUUUUUUUAUGGCAUGAGGCUGUGUUUCUGGGGACUUUGAGAAGUCCAGGGUGAAGUGCUUUAAACGGUUAUUUGAUGAAUCCCCAGCCAGCUCUAAGCAUGGCAGGACAGCCCUGGCUUGUUGAUGUCGAUGAAGAGCAACCAAAGUAGCAAACAGUGAAAUGAUGCCUACAGAGGGAUUCAUAGGGUGGUCUGCUUGGCUCACCUCUCAGAGAAGCUUGAUCACGUGAUCUUGGUCCUUCUUCCCCCAACCGCGCUCUCUCCCUUUUGCUUUUCACAUGGUACCUUAAGCCCUGCAGUCAGGCAAAACUUUGAUCAUAGAAAUUUGAAACUCUAAUGACCAAAAAUUCAUGAGGGCCUUUGGGGGAAGGGGUGUACCACACAAGGCAAGGGCCCCACCAACUGGAGAAUUAUUGAGAAGCGAUCAACUGAUCUCAUUAGCCAUCAGUAUCCAGGCAGGCUGGGGUAGCUUCUAGGAUGGGGGUUCUGGAGGCAUUGAGGUUGAACUCUGUCCAGUUACUUGACCUCUUUGCACCUUACUUUCCUCUUAUGCAAAAGUUAGGAAGAUGAUAUCUACCUUAAUGAGCUGCUAGGCUUUUCGGAACACAUCGUGUACAGUAGGCUCUUGCUACAGUGCCUGGUGUCUAUUCGGCUCUCACAAUAUGCUGUUGUCCUCGUAAUCACAGCCAGGGAAUGUUUUGUGAUUACCCGCUCUAACAAAAACGGUUCCUUCUGGAGUUCCCACGGGGGCUCAGUGGUAAUGAACCCAACUAGUAUCCUUGAGGAUUCGGGUUUGAUCCCUGACCUUGCUCACUGGAUUAAGGAUCCGGCGUUGUGUGAACUGUGGUGUAAGUUGCAGACUCGGUUCAGAUUCCGCUUUGCUGUGGCUGGGCAGCUGCAGCUCCAAUUCGACCCCCUAGCCUGGGAACUCCCAUAUGUUGCAGGUGCAGUC